GCCGCGGUAGCUCAACGGCAGAGCACCCGCCUGAUAUGCGGAAGGUUGGGGGUUCAAUUCCUUCCCGCGGUACCA
rnacentral:tRNA from 1 species